rnacentral:rRNA from 1 species
UACGUAGGUGGCAAGCGUUGUCCGGAUUUAUUGGGUUUAAAGGGUGCGUAGGCGGCCUUGUAAGUCAGUGGUGAAAUACUCCAGCUUAACUGGAGGGGUGCCAAUGAUACUGCAGGGCUUGAGUACAGAUGAGGUAGGCGGAAUUGACGGUGUAGCGGUGAAAUGCAUAGAUAUCGUCAAGAACACCGAUAGCGAAGGCAGCUUACUGGGCUGUAAACUGACGCUGAGGCACGAAAGUGUGGGGAUCAAACAGG